AGUCCCAGUAAACUUCGGCCGUAACUAUAACGGUCCUAAGGUAGCGAAAUUCCUUGUCGGGUAAGUUCCGACCUGCACGAAUGGCGUAACGAUGGCCACACUGUCUCCUCCCGAGACUCAGCGAAGUUGAAAUGUUUGUGAUGAUGCAAUCUACCCGCGGCUAGACGGAAAGACCCCAUGAACCUUUACUGUAGCUUUGCAUUGGACUUUGAACCAAUCUGUGUAGGAUAGGUGGGAGGCUUUGAAGCGGGGACGCCAGUUCUCGUGGAGCCAUCCUUGAAAUACCACCCUGGUUUGUUUGAGGUUCUAACCUUGGUCCGUUAUCCGGAUCGGGGACAGUGCAUGGUAGGCAGUUUGACUGGGGCGGUCUCCUCCUAAAGUGUAACGGAGGAGUUCGAAGGUACGCUAGGUACGGUCGGACAUCGUGCUAAUAGUGCAAUGGCAUAAGCGUGCUUAACUGCGAGACCGACAAGUCGAGCAGGUACGAAAGUAGGACAUAGUGAUCCGGUGGUUCUGUAUGGAAGGGCCAUCGCUCAACGGAUAAAAGGUACUCUGGGGAUAACAGGCUGAUUCCUCCCAAGAGUUCAUAUCGACGGGGGAGUUUGGCACCUCGAUGUCGGCUCAUCACAUCCUGGGGCUGUAGCCGGUCCCAAGGGUAUGGCUGUUCGCCAUUUAAAGUGGUACGUGAGCUGGGUUUAAAACGUCGUGAGACAGUUUGGUCCCUAUCUGCCGUGGGCGUUGGAAAUUUGAAGGGGGCUGCUCCUAGUACGAGAGGACCGGAGUGGACGAACCUCUGGUGUACCGGUUGUCACGCCAGUGGCAUUGCCGGGUAGCUAAGUUCGGAAGAGAUAACCGCUGAAAGCAUCUAAGCGGGAAACUCGCCUUGAGAUGAGAUUUCCCGGAGCCUUGAGCUCCUUGAAGGGUCGUUCGAGACCAGGACGUUGAUAGGUCGGGUGUGGAAGUGCAGUAAUGCAUUAAGCUAACCGAUACUAAUUGCCCGUACGGCUUGUCCCU
rnacentral:ncRNA from 1 species